AACAAGAGAUGAUGCAUUCUUGUGCCUUAGUUUCUUCACAUGCUUGGCUUCACGUUGAGCCUAUUCGCAAUCUUCACCCCCAACGACUCAUCACACUGCAUGAAGUAAAUGAGUUAAUUACAUAGUUAGUGCAAAUUAAUAGCUUUUUUUGCCGGAAUUAGUGCAAAUUAAUAGCGAUUAAGUCAUAUUAAUUUCAAAUUCUCUACAGUGGUUUAAAAUUAUAUAUUUCAUAUAAAAUAGGAUUAAAUAAUUUAUCUAUGGAUUCAUAAAACUGUUGUGCUAAACAUGGUGUUAAUCAUGUGGAUUAACUAAGAGAAAACAAUUAAUCAUUACUAAUAACUACUCCCUCCGUUUUUUUUAUAUGACGUUGAUUAGUUCAAACUUUAACUAGUAGUGUCAUAAAAACAAAAAUGGAGGUAAUACUAAAUUGCUGGUAUGAAUUACCUGGGAGAGGUAGUUGACCCAGAUGGCGCGGAGCUCAGGGGAGACCUUGGGGUGCGCGAGCUCGCCGGCGAAGCGGCGGAUGAACCUCUCCUGUCUAUCCGGCGCCCACGACCUGUACCUCUCCCCGGGCUGCUUGAAGUCGUUCUGCUUGUGUAUCGUCGCCUUCUGCCUCCUCCCCACCACGGGGCGCGGCGUGAUGGGCGUCGGCGGCGCGUGGCGGAGCGGCGCGUGGCGCGAUGGGUAGUAGUCCACCUCCUCGUCCCGGUGCAUGAAGUUCAUGGCGCCGUCGUAGUGGUUGUUGUGGUGGGCGCACUUGGGCGCGUUCACCGGCAGCAUCAGGUAGUUUGGCCCCAGCCUGUAGCGCUGCGUGUCGGCGUACGCGAACACCCUGCACUGCAGCAUCUUGUCGUCGGAGUAGUAGAUCCCCGGCACCACCAGCCCCGGCCCGAACGCCAGCUGCUCGUUCUCGUUGAAGAAGUUGUCGACGUUGCGGUUGAGAACGAGGCGCCCCACGGGCCGGAGCGGCACCUCGUCCUCCGGCCAUGUCUUGGUGUCAUCCAGCGGGUCGAAGUCGAACCUCUCCUCCUCCUCCGGGUCGAUCACCUAACAGUAUUAAAUAAUUAAUUAGAAGGAGUACUGCGGCUUCGAACUCAGAUCGUAUAGGCGUUAAUUUCUGGAUGAUCACCUACCUGGACGAACAGCUUCCACUCGGGGAAGUUGCCGGCGGCGAUGGAGUCGUAGAGGUCCUGGGUGGCGUGGCUGUGGUUCUUGCCGCCGACGAGCGUGGCCUCGUCGUCCAUCAAGCAGCUGACGCCGCAGGUGGGCUUCCAGUGGAACUUGACGUACCUGGCCUUGGCGUCGCGGGUGACGAAGGUGUAGGUGUUGACGCCGAAGCCGUCCAUGUGGCGGUAAUCGGUGGGGAUGCCGACGUCGUCGAAGAGGAAGAAGAAGGUGUGGAGGCUCUCGGGGUGGUGGGACAAGAAGUCGAAGACCCUCCAGUACUCCUGGACAUGGGAGCGCGGGUUGGGCUUGAAGGCGUGGAUGACGUCGGGGAACUUGAUGCCGUCGCGGAUGAAGAAGACGGGGAAGUUGUUGCCGAGGAGGUCCCAGUUGCCCUCGCGGGUGUAGAACUUGACGGCGAACCCGCGCGGGUCGCGGAUCGUCUCCGGGCUGCCGCGCUCGUGGAUGACGGUGGAGAAGCGGACGAUGACGGGGGUCUGGGCGCCCGGGGACCGGAGGAAGUCGGCGCAGGUGAUGUCGGUGACGUCGUGGGUGCACUCGAAGAAGCCCUUGGCGGAGGCGCCGCGGGCGUGGACCACGCGCUCCGGGAUGCGCUCCCGGGCGAAGUGCGCCACCUUCUCGAUCAGGUGGUAGUCCUCGAGGAGGAUCGGCCCCCUGGGCCCCACUGUCAGCGCCUCGUUGUCGUUCCACACCGGAGCUCCCGCGUUCGUCGUCGUCGUCUUCGUGUCGAACGAGCUCGACGGCCGGAACUGCAUGGGUAGCACGUAUUACUAUUAAUUAAUUAAUUAAUUAUAUACUUAAUGAUCGACUAGCUGAAUCAACCAGCCAUGCAUGUUUGAAGAGCUUGAGACUAAAAAAGAAAUAUUCGUAGAAUCUAGUCGAUAAUCUAGGUUAUUUCAGGAAGUUUCUGAUAAUCGACCAAAUAUUCUAUAAGAAGUUAAGCUCUCUCUUGAAUCUACACAACUAGCUAAAUGAAACCUCAAUUAUUAACUACAAGAUUAAGUAGAUUUAGUCUCACUAGUCACUGAGUGACUGACCUUGCAAGGAUCCAUGGUAGUGGGCUAGUGGCAGCAGCAGGUAUCUGGGAGUGAGAGGGGUUUGUUUCUGCUAGCUCUCCAGCUUGCUCGGUGAGACAGCCUGCCUAAAGGUUAUAUAGCGGGAGGUGGUGAGGAGCACUGACCUCCCCGGUGAGCUUACCGGAGACCGGUGCCACACACUGACUGGUGGGCCCGGGUGGCCAUACUGCAUGGUUGGGUCCCACAGGAACUGGACGAGGAUAAGGUGAGGUGGAUGUGGGCCCCCCUCGUGUGGAAAGGAAAUACAUGCAUUGCCUGGAUUGGAUGCAUGGAGUGUCAUCACUUCAUCAGUGCUCACUAGCUGCGUGCCAUCACUGCAUGUCCAUCGUCAGAUCAGAUCAGAUCAUCGGAUCAUAUCUCUUCGAUUGAUUUCAACGGCGCCGAAUUGCUGCCAUCGAUAGCUUAGCUCAUCCCCUUUCUCUUGAUCGGUCGGCCAAAGUUUGACAUGCUUGCAGUUGCAGCUAACGUCUCUGCAUUUUCUUUCUUGUUUCUCAGAUUAAUUUCAGGCUGCUUAAUUAUUCUGUAAGAACGAGGUGCUCUUUGUGCUAGCUAGCUAUGGCUCAGCUACACCCUCGUUUAUCAUAAACAUACACGUUUCUCAAACUGUAAGCUAUAAACAGUGUGUUUCGUACAAAAUCUUUUUAUACUAUAUAAAAGAAUUUAAUGGUGAUGGUGAAUCUACCAUCAUUUAGAGUUGGUGAGAUCUUCUAAUGCUACAUAAAUACAUCUUUGUGUGUGGUUUGGUUUUCUAUUGGAUGUUUGAUUGCAAUUAUGUUUGACAAAUACAAUUUCUAAAUCAAGAAAUUCACAUAAAUCUUUUAAAAUCCGUCCGUUGCAGAGCACGUUACUUUGCUAGUCUUUAAAAUUUUAAAUAAAUUUAGUUUUCAAGUUUAUAAUAGGUAAUACUGAGUUUAUCAUGUACUAUUCACCUGUUCCGGUUUUCAUGCCACUAACUAGCUCAGUCAAACUCCUUUAUCGAACACAGCCCAGCCAGAAUGCACCCUUGUCUUUUUACCUAGUGCUAUAAGAGGAACCAAUUCAAGAUGAUGAUGAUUGAUUUACCUUGUAGCAUUACUACGCAGUUCAAAUUACUAACCUUUCAGAUUAGGUACGGUCUGAAUAUGUGAUGGAAGAUCGAAGCAGCUGUAUCUCAUAAAAUAAAUUACAGAUUCCGUCUGGAAACUGCAAGACGAAUUUAUUAAGCCUAAUUAAUCUAUUAUUAGCAAAUAUUUAUUGUAGCACCAAAUUGUCAAAUCAUGGCGCAAUUAGGCUUAAAAGAUUUGUCUCGUAAUUUCAAGGCGAAAUGUUUAAUUGUUUUUUUUCUACAUUUAGUACUCUAUGCAUGUGUCCAAACAUCCUAUGUAACAGCGUGAAAAAUUUUGUUUGGGAACUAAACAGACCCUGAUUGUGAUGCAACCCAUAAGUAAUUGCAAAACUAGCUAGCUAUCUACAGCAUCAUCAGCAUAUAUCUUGGUGGUCUAAACUUCUCAGGAAACAAAAGAUGAGAAAUUGUUCUGUUCUUAGUCCACGCUGAUGAUAACGAUAGGUGUGCUGUGGUGGGCACAAGCUUUUUUCUUUCUUUUUUUUUUUGAGGGGAAAGUUGCUUAAGAUGAAGUGACAUAAACAAGAUUAAUUCGAGGAAAAUGUGCGCAUCUCAGAUGUGUACUCCAUUUAUACAAAACCCAGCAAAUUAAGAAGGUACAAUUAUCUGACAGACUAGCGAACAAACUGAAAAUUAUAGUCGUAGUACUACAAAUUUGCAGUUUGUGGCUGAGGGGAAUCUAUCCCAUCUGGUAUAUGCUGUCACUUUGUGCUAGUACUGUACUAUGUACUAGCCUGUAGCCUCUACUUUUGUAAUUGAAUGAGAAUAUUUGAAUGUUUUACACCACAUAAUGGAACAGCUCAAAUCUCAUAAGAUCUUGGAGAGAUAUUCUUGAUUACUCUGAUUAAUGGGUCAUGUGUUGAUGCAUAUAUAUAUAUAUAUAUAUAUAUAUAUAUAUAUAUAUAUAUAUAUAUAUAUAUAUAUAUGUUAAUGAAUCAAAACGCAUGCAUAUGUCUAGAUUGAAUGUGGGCAAUGCUAAAAAGUAUUAUAUUGUGAAACGGAGGAAGUAGUAGUCAAAUGGUGCUAAGAUCUGGGUUUUCAUGAAACAACACUAGACACCAAUAAUGCAAUCGGUGGGUAUGCUUUUGUCUCUGACGACUAAUUGCCUUGUGAAUGAAAAAGCUUUGGAUUUUAGCUCCUAAAAAUCUGCAAUCUUAAUCAAAAGGGAGAAAUGCACAAAAUGAGCUAUUGGAAAGAAAGGAACUACGAUAUCUUGCAGAAUAUAUUUCAAAUAAAAAGAUAGUUGCUUAUUCGUUCGAGAAAACAGGUUAUCAAUUUGGUACAGAUUUGGCUUGAAUUUUACAUUUUAAUGCUAGUUGGUGAACCGUCCAGUACUCUGAUGGCCAUAUUAAUAAUUUCCCCAUAAAAAAACAUAAACUAAAUUCAACCUCGGACACUCAACUUUAUAUUGCAAAUCUGAAAUAAUUUUACUGCAUUAGAAAAAUCAGAAGAUGGCUGCGAGUAAUAUUAGUGUCAGUUGGUGAACUGUUGAGUACUCCCAUUUCCAUAUAUAUUAAUCAUUUUCCCAUCGAAAAAUGAGAAACCAAAUGCAACCACUCAACUUUACAUUAAAAAACUAAAGUAAUUUUGCACUAUAUAGAGCAUUAAAAAAAUCAGAAAAUGAUUUCGAGUAAUGUGAGUAGUCAUCCUGCACGAGCUUGACUAAUGCUUUUGGAAAAAGGGAGUAAUUGAGGUGAGGUGUGAGAGUGAGAUUCCCCACCUGUGGGUACAUGACAAAACAAACCAAUCUUGCUGUUGAAGCGCAUGAUGUGAGAUAAGAUCAUCAAUCAGCAGCACCAAAAAAUAUCUCUCCUUCUAUUGCGUGCAUGGUUUGUUCCUUACAUGAUUCUAUCUUGAGCAGUGCUCAUUCUUCAGUGAUCAUUAGCUGUUUCUUGUAACUUGUAAGAACUUGUUUGAAGCGCAGGAAUAUUUUUUUCCUUGAAGAUAAAUAUAGCGAAAUUGGAAUGCUGAAUUAUCAAUUACCGGUGUGUAAAUGCCCUCUGAUGAAAUAAGAAGAGUAAGUAGAGCACAAAUUUUACAGUAACAAAUUAAGGGCUCCUUUGAAUCGUAGGAAUGAAAAAAUAAUAGGAAUAGGAAAAACACAGGAUUCUGACAAAAAUACAAUUGUAAAACAGAGGAUUGCAAAACACAGGAAUGACCGUUUGAUUGGACCACAGGAAAAACGCAGGAAUCAGAUGAGAGAGAUAGACUCAGAGGAAAUGUUCCAAGAGGUUAGACCUCUUGCUAACUUUUCUCUAAAAUGUGCAUAGGAUUACCCCAUUUCAUAGGAACUUUAAAGGAUUGGAUAUGAUUUAAUCCUUUGUUUCAAAGGCCUUCAUAGGAUUUUUUUUUUCAUAGGGUUAAAAUCCUCCAAAAUUCCUAUAUUUUUCCUAUAAAUCAAUGGGGCCCUAACAAUAGUAGCAUAUGCUAGUACAAGAAACAAGAGAAGAGAAUAAAAUAAUAACACUGUAAUUGAGGAUUUACAGAGAAAAUUAACGUAUAUAUAAUCACGGAAUGAAUGCUUUCCAAUAGGUUCACGUGGUGAUCCAACAAGUUGGAUGUUGGAUUGUUGAUUGAUGCCGAAAAUGUUUGGGGCUGAAUGCAACUGAAGGAAAGUGGGACCGUGCAUGCUCCAAAAGAAUUGCAUCGACCGUACAGUAGCGCUACUGCCUACCUAACUUAAUCAUGUUGCAAAGAGCCAGAUAUUUAUUCACCAAUUACACGUCUGAUCUCAAUCAUCAUUACUCCUAGCUACAGUUUGUUCGGUUUCAAAUCUUAAAUUUAAUCCAUUCAAAAAGUUUCAGUUUUACUGCAUAAGAAACAUCUCAGUAAAAGGACCAGUUGCUUCUGGUAAUAACAUAUCCCAAAUUUCUGUCAAAUUCCACGGUUGCAGUAUGAGCAGACUGUACUGAACUCUGAAGAUCUCAAGAAAUCUCAAACCGAUCAUACGCUUGAUUAGCAGAACGAUAUCUUCUUCAUGGACAAAAAUGAGUGAGCAGUCAGAAGUCUUUCUUUCAGACGAUAGCAGCCUCCUACUGAUACUGUUCAUGCAUCCUGCUUGUGCGUUUGGAUCUCCUUCCUGCAAUUUCAUCUUCAGUGACAGAGACGCCACGGCUGCGAAGGAUCGAUGGUGACAUAUUCUUAGCUAAGGUGAUGGACUGAUGGUCCAUUGGAGGACCGAACCACCAGCUAUCACCUUAUCUGCAAUUUGGAUCUCUUUGUUUGUAAUAUAUACCAUUAUUCAUACUCUCCUUUUCUUUGAAAUUCUAUUCAUUACAACUGGCGUGGUAGAGUCGCCUGACUGUAUUUCGUACUAUCAAUAGAGACACCGUAAAAGCGAAAGGGUAUGUAAUGGUUGCAGUGACCGAAAUACCACGAAAUUCUGAGUUCAAAUCUUUAUAUGUAUGUAAAAAUUGUCGCAUUAUACCGACAGCCUCAUCUUUUAGCUUAUGCUUAUGCUUAUAAGCCAAAAUUUAAAUUUUCAACAUUAAAUUUGGAGUUGAUUUUGGGAUUUUUUUCAAUCGUAGUUUAUUUUUCAGCAUUUGCUUUUAGAUCGUUAAGAACACGUAUAUAAAAAUUUUAUUUAUAAAUUAUUUUUCGUUUGCAAAUAUACCGUUUCGCUUAUACCGUCGAUAAGCGAAAUAAUGGAGUCCCGAUCGAGUUAGUUGCACAAGUGGUUUAGUGUAGUACUUAUAAUCUGCGGGGACCUUACAUAGAAGUUAAAACCUUUGCAGAGCAACUUAGCAACAAGACAAUCGUCAUGCAAUCGUGAUAAGGUUGUAGAUUAAUUUCCAUGUUUAUGUAUGCAGUGUAACCAUCUGGAAUAUUUUCCUGCAAGCAUCCGGACAACGCUGUCAAAAUUAUCUAGAUUACCCGACUUUCUCCAUGGACACACAAAUCAUGAGAUAUUGUACAUGUAGAAAAAAAACGAAGUUGAAAAAUAUGAUGUUUUAAGAUGGAAGCUUUAUUAAACUCAAAUAGUUACAUUACGGUGAUACAAUCAUAGUGAAAAUACUUUUUUUAGAUAAGGGUAUUUUUACUCGGCCUCUACAUUCAACCGGAUAUAUGUAACAUUUUUAAAUUAGGAACUUGGCCCCCUAAACAGUCCAAUCUUAAAUUCGCUCUUAUAAAAAUUUGAACCAAAGAAUUUAGGGUGCUACUCAUGUUACUGCACCAUUACAUGCCAUUUCGCUAGUGAAAAUACCUUUGGCCUAUGUCUAUAACUAAGAUGCAUAUUAAGAAAAAAAACCUCAAAUGCAUAUGUUAGUUAUCUUUAAAAAAAAGAAAUACGGAAAAUGUUAAGAACCGCCAAUCAAUAUACAAGAUCAUAGUCCAUGCUCCUAGGUACAACACUCGAAUGUUGUAACUAGUGAGCCGUCCGAUCCUGGAGGAGUGGUCUGGAUUAAUUAGGUGCGAGUUGAUUAAUUCCUCGUUUGAUAGGGAGAGUGACAACCACAUGCCGUCCACCACUAGCGAGCUAGCUCUGCCAGUGUCACACUGCCAGUGAAGCAAGUUGGCACUGUCACCAAGAGAGCGGCAUUGCAUUGCAUUUGCGUGUGGAAAUUACACUAAGCUGAUGCUAAUCCUGCAUCAUGAGCUGCUCAUCAACUAAAUGACCCUCACUUUUGGUAAUUAAUCCCUUCCUUCAGGAAAAAGUUGGAGAUUCAGACAUCCUCAAAUCAGAACACAGUAGACUAGCCAAAUUUGGUUGCCCAGCUCAUCCUGAUACUUUGCACUAACAGAAGGGUUCUUGAUGAUCAAGUACGCUUUGAUCAGGAAAUAAUUGGGGAUGGCUAGUGGGAAAUGACCAAAUAUCUCAAUCAACAAAGCCAAUCAAUCUCACACUGCAAAAACUAAAGCAAGCUUUUCUCUCUCCCGGCUGGGUGCGUAAUAACAUGAUCCAAAAAGACAUCAGGUAGUACUCUUGAUUGCAAUUUGCAAACUAACCACCCAAAAAUUAUAUUGAUAUGGUAGAAAUAUAAUAGAAAAGGUACUUAUCUAGUUUAUACUAUAUAUGCAUAUUAUGUACUGAGAGAUCUGGGUGUCAUGUCGAUCUGAUCAUCUCCAAUUCUUUAUUAAUUAGUCAUGUAUAAGUUGUUGAGUCAUCCAUUACUGCCUUUUUCUUUUUUUUUCUUUUUUUGAUAACUCACAGCCUUAAAUUGUUUCAUAUACUUCCAGUUCACUGUAUUGGAACAAUGUAACAUUAUGAGAAUUGAUGGGCAAUCAAGAAAUGAACAGGAUAAAGAAUCAUUCUCGUGCUUUGCAUAGUGAUAGCACUGUAGUGUAUACUUUCUGUUCGUUACAGUUCAUAUGGCCUUCUCUAGGGAGGCCCAUCUACAGUGGGAGCCCAGAAGCGCGGUGCCAAGAGCGGGGCCCACGACAGCACCAAUGUAUUCACCCAUCUAAUCUGCACCGUACAACUUCGAUCGAACGUCUCACGGAGAUCAAAGCGAGUCAGAGUUUUACUCUCCGAUCCCCCUUGGAUCCCCACCGCUAUAACGUACUACUCCCUCCGUCCUAAACAAACGAAUCUAAAAUAGAAUAUACCACAUCCUAUUACAGUGAAUCUGGAUAAAAGGUACGUCUAAAUUUGUACUACUAGAAUAUGUCACAUCCAGUACUAAGUUGGUUUUUAUGGGAUGGAGAGAGUAGCUCCAUCCUAUAAUAAGCGCAGAUGUGGGUUUUAGUGUCUAACUUUGACCAUCCGUCUUAUUUAAAAUAUUUUUAUGAUUAAUAGUAUUUUUAUUGUUGCUAGAAAAAAUGCUCGUGCGUUGCAACGGGUGAAUGCUAUUUUAAUUUUAUUAUUGUUAUACGGUUUAGUUAAGAUGAAAUUCACUUUCGGAAUUCGCUUGGAUAUUUUUUUAGAAAAUCAUGAACUGCAAUUAGGAGUCUGACUUUCAUCUCAAGUUAGCAUGCGAGUUUUUUUAAAAGAUAUUUCUUAUACGACUCCUUUUAUAUUUCUAAAAGCAAAAAAAUUUAAAAUCCGACUCAAAUACAGAUCUAUAUUUUGAAAAGCGAACGAACUUAAAAACCGACUCAAAUACGGAUGACAUACCAAAAUACCGGCAAAAACAUCUUUAAUUUUUAUAAUAGUAAAGAUUAGAUGAUAAAAUAUAAAUAGUACUUUAUGUAUUUAUGACUUAACUUUUAAAAUUUUUUAUAAAUUUUUCAAAUAAGACGAAUGGUCAAACGUUAGGUACGGAAACUUAUGGCUGCACUUAUAAUGGGACGGGGAGUAUUACUGUAACGAAUAUACGCUAACACGUGGAUCCACCCGCCGACGGCGCCACUCCGGCCACCGGAAAGCCGUCUCCGC
rnacentral:lncRNA from 1 species